GACGAACGCUGGCGGCGUGCUUAACACAUGCAAGUUGAACGGUAAGGCCCUUCGGGGUACACGAGUGGCGAACGGGUGAGUAACACGUGGGUGAUCUGCCCUGCACUUCGGGAUAAGCCUGGGAAACUGGGUCUAAUACCGGAUAGGACUCCUGGCUUCAUGGUUGGGGGUGGAAAGCUUUUGCGGUGUGGGAUGGGCCCGCGGCCUAUCAGCUUGUUGGUGGGGUAAUGGCCUACCAAGGCGACGACGGGUAGCCGGCCUGAGAGGGUGACCGGUCACACUGGGACUGAGAUACGGCCCAGACUCCUACGGGAGGCAGCAGUGGGGAAUAUUGCACAAUGAGCGCAAGCCUGAUGCAGCGACGCCGCGUGAGGGAUGACGGCCUUCGGGUUGUAAACCUCUUUCAGCUAUGACGAAGCGCAAGUGACGGUAGUAGCAGAAGAAGGACCGGCCAACUACGUGCCAGCAGCCGCCGUAAAAC
rnacentral:rRNA from 1 species